CGUACGGAGAGGGAGAGAACGACAAAAAGCACAUGAACAAAUCAUAAUUUUACAAAUUGAAGAAGAGGAUAACGUUAGGUCCUACCAUAUAUCAAGUUAGGCCAUUAAUAAAAAAGUAUUGUACCAUAAUUAAAAAAAAAAAAGGGGGAAAUCAAACUAGCUAGUUACCCAAUUAACUAACCAGCUAGCUAACCAACUAGCUAACUAGCUAACCAAUAAGCCAAAUAACUAACUAAUUAGCCAAAUAACUAACUAACUAAUUAGCCAAAUAACUAACUAACUAAUUAGCCAAAUAACUAACUAACUAAUUAGCCAAAUAACUAACUAAAUAAUUAGCUACCGAACGAACAACAAAAUGGAGCACUACAUCAGGGAAACUAAAAAACUAACCUUAAAAAAUAACAAGGGGAAGAAACUGUUUAGGUAUUUAGACAUUUCACUAAAUAACAAGUCAUUGUAUGACCAGCAUAUAUUCGAUUUAGUAAAAGUUUUAAAAAAGAAUAUAAAAAUAGUUUACAACAAUUAUUAUUGUUUAAACAUUGAUUUGAGUGAAAAUUAUAUUACAUGUGUCGGUUUAAAAACAUUAUUAAAAUAUAUAUUAAAUUAUAAUGAAAAUAUAGGUGUAAAUAUAUUAAAAUUAUAUAAAAAUAAUAUAAAAGAUGAUGGUGUCUUUUUAAUAAAACAAUUGGUUUAUAUUCAAAAAAUACCCAUGGAAGAAUUACAUUUGUCUCAUAAUUUUAUUCAAGAUAAUACAUGUAAAGAAUUAUUACUUAGUUUUGUACAGGCUAAAAAAGAUAGUAACUAUGUAUAUCCAAGACUUGAUAAAUAUCAAAGUGCAUACAAACAAAUUCAACAUAUACCUGUAUGGGUACGAUUAGAAUAUAAUUGUAUUCAAAACCCUAAAGACAUAUUAAAAGAAGUGGAAGAAUGUGCUAAAAAAAAGAGAGGUUACAAAAGUAAUCUCAUUAUAUGUUCAGCUUUAAAAAAUGAAAAAAGAUGUGGUCCAUAUAAAUGUCUAAACUCUACAAUUCGUAAUACUCCUAUUAUGCAUGUAUAUAUGUUUAUACAUCAAAAAGAAAAUUUGACUUCAAGUAACGACAAAAUGUUGAGAGAAAAUAAUAAAAAAGAAUUACCAUUGGUAGUAAAUCCUACUUAUAUAAACAAUGAUAUAGUUAACAAAACAUGUGAUUUACUUGUUAAUAAAAGUAACAUAAUUACAAAAAAACUAGAUGCUACUAAGGAAGGGGAACCAAACUUUAUAAACAGUAAACAUACUGAUGAAAGUAGUAUUGGUAGUAGUUACACAAGUGAUAACAGUAAUGACAGUGACAGUAAUAACAAUGGAAGUGAUAACAGUAAUGACAGCAGUAUGGACUGCAGUUCAUCUGAUGGUUCUUCUGUUUUUUCAGUUACUCUUAAAAAAAAAAAUAAAAAAAAAGAAAGUCACAAAAAAAUAACAAACAAAGUUUCUUAUUAUGUCAAUAGUAAUGAUACAAAAGCAAAAAAAAAAAAAAAAAAAAAAAAAAAAAAAGAAAAAGUGAAAGUAGUAAUAGUAAUAUUACUAUUAGUGGUAGUAUUGUUAGCGAUAGUAGUAAUAGUGAUAGUGGUAUUAAUAGUAGCAGUAGUAUGGAAAAGAGUAGUAUUAGUGGUAGCAGUAGCAACAGUAGAAGUAGCAGCCAUUGUAGCAGUACAAGCAGCAUCAACAGACAUAAUAACAAAGUCAUUAAACAUAGCAUUUUGAAUGGUAAUAAACUGAAAAAUAAGAAAAAGGAGAAAAAGAAAAGUGAUGAACAUAAUAGUGGUGAUUAUUGUAUCAGGAGCAAAGUGAAUGAAAAUGAAAAUAAUUUUACUUAUGAUGACAUUAUAACAAAUAAAUUAAAAACUGACAGAGAUAAAAAAAAAGAAAAUAAAAAAAUACUACUUAAUAGACAUCAGUUGAAUAAAAAAGGUACCAUAAACAGUUGCACCAUUAGUAGUAGUAAUGUUAAAAGUAGUAACGAUUUGGGUGAUUCAUCUAUCAGUAACAAUAAUAAUAUUCAAUCUCAUUUAAAUCAAAGUAAAAAGGAAAAAAGUGUUAGUGGUGGUGGUGUUAGUGUUAGUGGUGAUAGUGGCAGCCCUAGUCCUAAUCGUAAUAGUAGUAGCAAGAAUAGAACUACUGCUUUUAAUAACAAUUCUGAGGUUGAUACCAAUAAAGACGAUGUAAAAAAGGAAGCAAAAAAAGAAGCAAAAAAAGAAGCAAAAAAAGAAGCAAACAAAGAAGCAAAAAAAGAAGCAAAAAAAGAAGCAACAAAAGAAGCAACAAAAGAAGCAACAAAAGAAUCAACAAAAGAAGCAAAAAAUAUGAACGGACAGCACAAUACAGUCCCAAAUCAACUACCUCUUUAUAUAUUACUUGAUUGUAGUUCAGUAUUAGGAAUGAAAGAAUUAUGGAAGGAUAACACUUUUUUGCCGUUUAGUUUUCCCGGACUGGUUUAUAUGCACCAUAAUGGGUUGAUAAAGAUGUGUGGCAAUGGUGGUAGUAGCAAUAAUAGCGUUAGUAGUAGUAGUAAUAAUAGCGGUAGUAGUAGUAAUAAUAAUAGCGGUAGUAGUAGUAGUAAUAAUAAUAGUAGUAGUCAUAGCGGUAGCAGUAGUAAUAAUGUUAAGGAUGAUAGGAAAAGUGAAGAAGAGACAGAUGAAAACCAAAAUGAAAGUUUUAUUUGUCUUAUGUGUAGUUACGUAGCAAAUGAAUUAAAAGUUAUCUGUCAAAAAAGUGAAAUCAUGAGACAGAAAAUGAUCAAUUUAAAAGCUGAUGCUUGGGAUAGACUUUCCGAGUUAGGCAUAAUGGAAUUUUUAACAGUACCUAAAGAUUUUAAAGAUAAGAACAAAAGCAUUUUCAAAUCAUCAUUUUUAACAAAUGAACAAAUAAAACUUGCUAAUGAUUAUUAUGCCAUAUCUCAAGAAUCAUUGUUAAUGAUACAGUUUUCAAUUUUAUGGGCAACUUAUAUUUAUAAGCUUAGUAACAAAGAAAUAGUAAUAACAGAAAAAAAAAAAAAAGAAAUUAAUAAUAAGAGUGGUUUAAAUAAUAAUUAUACUAACCAAACUAUUUUUAGUGAUGUUAUAUAUUUAACUGCUUCUUCUAACAUUUAUUCAUUUUUUGAAUGUUUAUAUGAACAAGAUAUAAAAUUAGUACUACCAUUAUGUGUCACGGUUAAUCAAAUUAAUCAAUAUAUACAAGACGAACAUAGUUAUGUCAUAGAUUUAUUAAUAAAUAACAAAACAUUGGAUAAAAAUAUUAAUUUUAAUUUUAAUAAAAUAUUUAUACAACGAUUUGUACGUGAAAAAUAUUCGAAAUAUUUAAACAUAGUUAUGACACAGACACCUAGUAAGAUAGUAAAAGAAGUGACCACGUUGCAUGACAAUGUUUCUAAAAGUGACAGUGUCAUUUUUGAAAAUGUUGUUUUAAAAUCGAAUAUAAAUCAACAUUUAGUUUCGAACGAUAAGAACAAAGAUGAUGAAAAUGAUGGUAGGGAUUAUAAUAGUGACGAUAAAAGAAGUAGUAACAAUAACAUUAAUAGUUGUUAUACUAACGUAAAUUUAAAAAAUGAUAGUAAAAUGAGUAAUAACAACAGUGUCACGUUAAGUGAUGAAGUACAUAUUGGAGAUAAUGGAAAAGACGAAGUAAAUAGCAAAACAAAUAAAGGAAAACAAGAUGUGGAUAUCAUUUUGAGUACAAACCAAUUUAGUGCUUUAUAUUAUAAUGAAUUUAACAAUAAUAAAAUAAAAAAGAACGUAAUGUCUACCAAUAAUGAUAACAAAGAUGGUAAGUUAGAAGUAAAAAAAGACGAGCAUGUAAUAAUACCUGAGGUGGUAAAUGGAAGCAUCCGUAACAUUGACAAUGCUAUUAACGUCAAUUGUAGUAACAAUAAUACGAAGACAUAUAAUAACAUAUAUGACGAGAGUUAUACGAAAGCGAAGGCAAAGGCGAAGGCGAAGGCGAACGUAAAUAUAAAUUUAAACAAACAAUACCAUUUACGAACUAACAAAAAUUAUGACAUUCUGCAUUUGUUACAAAGUGAUAGUGAUGGUAUUGGUAUGUUAACAGAUAAGAUGUGCCAGAUGGACAAGGUGGGCAAGAUGGGAGGAAAAGAGGCUUACGAUGUAUAUGUUAUAGAAAAUGGUAAAAGCAGAAGCAGGAGCAAGAGUAAAGGUAAAAGUAAAGGCAAAAGCAAAAGCAAGAGCAAAAGCAAGAGCAAAAGCAAGAGCAAAAGUAAAAGCAAGGGCGACAGUAACAAUGAGUAUAUAGAAAAAAAGAAUGAACACAAUAAAGAUGUAAAUACUAAUUUACUACAUAACAACAAUUCUAUGUUACUAAAAAAUAACAUAGAAGUUAAUGAUUAUUUGAAAAAAAGAGGAAGUAUAAGUGAAAAUAACGUUGUUGUUACUAGUACUGUUGCAAGUAGUAGUAAUGACCAUACUGGUAAAAACGAGAAUAAUGACAUAAAUAAUGACAUAAAUAAUGACAUAAAUAAUGACAUAAAUGAUGACACAAAUGAUAACAUAAAUGAUGAUAUAAACAGUGAUAAACAUAUUGUCAAUAAUGUUAGUACCAUUAAUAAUAACAAUAUUAACAAUAAUAAUAUGAAUAAUAUAAAAAAAUUUGAUAACAUAUUAUAUCAUGUCAACAUAGAAAACCAACUGUUAAACAAUGCAAACGUAACGAAUAAUAAUUUUCUUAUAGAUCAAGAAACAACAGAAUCAGAUGCUAAAGUUGUAACAAGUGGAAAUAAUAAUGAUGAUGGUGGUGCUCAUACAAAAGAAAAUAAACAUAGUAUAUAUAACUUGUUAGUUAGCGCAUUUAAAAGUAAUAAGAAUAAAGAAAAAAAGCAGGCAAAAUGUAUAAUAAACAACGACCAGGUUGUAGAUGUUAGUCAUGACAAAAACAAUAACAACAAUAACAACAAAAACAACAAUAACAACAAAAACAGCAAUAACAACAAAAACAGCAAUAACAACAAAAACAGUAAUAACAACAAAAACAGCAAUAACAACAAAAACAACAAUAAUAGCAAUAACAACAAUCAGUUUAACACUAUUACCGGUGUGCCAACUCACUUGGUUAAUCAUUCUACAAACAUUGGUGUAUCUAAUGCACAAAUAAAUGGUCAUAUAACAAAUGUGAUGAAUAAUGUUAACAGUGUUAAGUUAGGAAAAAAUAACAACAUUAACAUGCUUAGUACGACAUGUACUUCUGUCGUUAAUGGUGGAAAUAAAAUUAAUGAUGAUGCAUCGAAUACAUAUAAUAAUUACAACAACAAAAUUAACAAAAUUAACAAAAUUAACAAAAGCAACAAUAACAAUAACAAUAAUAUGACAAAUAAUGUGACAAAUAAUGUGACGAAUGGUGCAGGUGCAGGUGUAGGUGCAGGUGCAAGUGCAAGUGCAGCUUACGCUAACAAUAACAAAAGCUACUUUAGUAACUUUAAAAAUAACAUGUACAAUAAUAACAAUAAUAAUAACAAUAAUAGUAAUAACAAUAAUAGUAAUAACAAUAAUAGUAAUAACAAUAAUAGUAAUAACAAUAAUAGUAAUAAUAAUAAUAAUAGUAAUAAUAAUAAUAAUAAUAAUAAUAAUAAUAAUAAUAAUAAUAAUAGUGUUGAUAGUAACAUUAACAGUGACAACAAUAAGCUUUUGUAUGAUGCUGGUUCUGAAUAUGGUUUACUUUUAAGUUCUAUAUCGAAUAAUAUGCAACACAAUCUGAAUAUAUAUUCAGAUAAAAAUGAUACCAUUAAAAAAGGAAGUAAUCUAAAUAAUGUUUUUAACACAACUGAAAAGGUUACUUCUUGCUCCAAUAAUGAUAAUGAAUUAAGUACCAAGGGGAAAAAGGGAAAGAAGGACACAGACACAAACACAAACACAAACACAAACACAAACACAAACACAAUACGCCAUAACAAAAACGAAGACGAAAACGAAAAUGAAAACGAAAAAGAAAACGAAAAAAAAAACGAAGACGAAAACGAAAACGAGAGUAAAAUAUACCUUAAUGAAGCAAAAAAAAAACUACAAGCAAUAAAAAAAAUUUAUAAAAAGCAUAAUAAAGAUAUUUUAAUUACAGCACUAGUACUAGAAGAAAUCAUCUUAUCGCCAGAAGUAUUUAAACACAUUCCCACUGACAUAUAUAAUAAAAUAUUAAAUUGUUAUGAUAAAUUAGAUACGAUGUUAAUCAAUUUAAGUGAGAUACAGGACGAUGAUUGUGAACCCGUUGAUGCUGAACCCGUUGAUGCUGAACACGGUGGUGCUGAACCCGUUGAUGCUGAACAUGAUGGUGCUGAACAUGGUGAUAAUGUUUAUGAUAAUGUUUAUGAUAAUGUUUAUGAUAAUAGUAACGACAAUAACAGCAGUAGCAGUAGCAGUAGCAGUAACAGUAGAAGUAGCAGCGAAAUAAAGAAUAAGGACAUCGAAGUAGAAAAAAAUUGUGAUAUAUUUUUGAAUAAACUGGAAAAUAAACAAAACGAGAUUAAUAAAUAUAAUGGAACAAUAGACAAAAAGGAACAUAAAAAUGAAACGAAAAUACUACCAGAUACUUCUUCUAUAAAUAAAAGUAUUAUGUUUGAAGACUUUAAAAAUUUGGGGAUUCAGAAACUAUCAAAAAAUGAUUACACUUCUUUUGUAAUGUCAAUAAAUAAAUUAAUGAAUAAUAAUAAGAAUGCAUCAUCUUUAGGUUUAUCCUCACAAAAUUAUUCUCUUUUAAACAAUAACUCAUAUGUUAAUAAUAAUAAUAAUAAUAAUAGUAGUAGUAGUAAUAAUAGUAGUAAUAAUAGUAGUAGUAGUAGUAGUAAUAAUGUUAGUAAUAGUGGUAGUAAUAAUGGUAGUAACAAAGAUAUAUUGAAUAAUAUAAAUAUGUUAUAUAAUCGUAAUAACAAUACUACAGUUAUGAACAAGUCGUGCUACAAUACAAAUUCGAACAAUAUAAAUAGUAACACAAUAAUCAGUCAUACUGGUAGUGUGAAUAACCACUCUGACAGUAUACAUUGUUACGUGGGUAACACACAUAACCAUAUAAGUGUAACAAAANNNNNNNNNNNNNNNNNNNNNNNNNNNNNNNNNNNNNNNNNNNNNNNNNNNNNNNNNNNNNNNNNNNNNNNNNNNNNNNNNNNNNNNNNNNNNNNNNNNNUAGGUAUGCCAAAUAAUCAAGUAGGUAUGCCAAAUAAUCAAGUAGGUAUGCCAAAUAAUCAAGUAGGUAUGCCAAAUAAUCAAGUAGGUAUGCCAAAUAAUCAAGUAGGUAUGCCAAAUAAUCAAGUAGGUAUGCCAAAUAAUCAGAUAGGUAUGCCAAAUAAUCAGAUAGGUAUGCCAAAUAAUCAAGUAGGUAUGCCAAAUAAUCAGGUAGGUAUGCCAAAUAAUCAGAUAGGUAUGCCAAAUAAUCAGAUAGGUAUGCCAAAUAAUCAAGUAGGUAUGCCAAAUAAUCAAGUAGGUAUGCCAAAUAAUCAGGUAGGUAUGGCAAACCACGCUCCACUACAUAAUUCGAUAAAAAUUAGUAUGAAAAAGAAAAAUAACGCCGUAGUUAAAAACAUAGGAAAUAAUAAUAGCAGUAACAGUAGCAACAUAAGUAUGAAUAAUAAUAUUAACCAUAACACUGGUAGUAGUAGUAGUAGUAGUAGUAGUACUGCUUUGACACUUAAUGACUUUAACAAUUUUCUUAAUAAUAAAUACAACAUUAGGAAUAAUGUCCAUAAAAAUAAUAACUUGAAUUAUAGUAACAGUGUAAAUUGUGCUGUCAAUAGUAAUAAUGCGCAAGUAAAUAUAAAUAACAAAAUAACAAAUGGUUUCAAAAACUAUAAUAUACUAAAUAACAUAGAACUGGAUUUGAAUAAUACAAAUGAAGCUGAAUUAAAAAAUAAUAUAAAUAAAUUAAUAAUGCUAAAUAAUAAUAAUAAUAAUAACAAAUAUAAUAAUAAUAGUAGUAGUAGUAGUAGUAUUAGUAUUAGUAACAAUAAUAGUAACAAUAAUAGUAACAAUAAUAGUAACAAUAGUAGUAACAAUAAUAGUAACAAUAAUAGUAACAAUAAUAGUAACAAUANNNNNNNNNNUAGUAACAAUAAUAGUAACAAUAAUAGUAACAAUAAUAGUAACAAUAGUAGUAACAAUAAUAAUAAACAUAUUAAAUUUAAUUCUAAAAUUCAGAGUGAAAGUAAUUCCAAUUUUUAUGAUGACAAUAGUAACAAUAUUUCCAUUAACAACACUGCACAUAAUAUCUUAAAAAAUAUUAACAUGCAUAACAGUAGUAGCCAUUAUAAUAAUAUCAGUAGUAAUAAUAGUACUUACAAUGGUAUUAGUCAUAAUGAUAAUAAUUAUGGAGAUAUUGCUAAUAAUAAUAAUAUUGACAAUUAUAAAAGGUGCGACUCGGAUUUAUUAGCGCUUAUCAAAAUGAACAGAAUUAAUAAAAAUAACUUUAAUUUAAAUACGAACAUGAACUCGAACAUGAACACGAACAUGAACACAAACAUGAACACGAACAUGAACACGAACAUUAACACGAACAUGAACACGAACAUUAACACGAACAUUAACUCGAACAUGAACUCGAACAUGAACUCGAACAUGAACUCGAACAUGAACAUGAACAUGAACUCGAACAUGAACAUGAACAGUGCUCAAAAGGGGCACAACAUAAACAACGUAGAACAUAAAUUGAAUGGCUAUCUUAUAAGUAACUCGAAAAACACACCAAACAAUAAUAAAAAUGAAUUAUAUAACAUUAUAAAUACUAACCUACGUAAUGAUGGUAUGUAUUUAAACUAUUUAAAACCAAAAAAUAACCAAUUAAAUCAUACUAUGCAG
rnacentral:lncRNA from 1 species